GGACGGCUGAGUAACACGUGGGUAACCUACCCGGGCGUGGGGGAUAACCCGCCGAAAGGCGGGCUAAUACCGCAUACGAUCGCUGGUCUAUGGGCUGGUGAGGAAAGUGGUGACAUGCGCUCGGCUGGGCCUGCGGCCGAUUAGCUAGUUGGUGGGGUAAGGGCCUACCAAGGCGAUGAUCGGUAGCUGGUCUGAGAGGAUGAUCAGCCAGACUGGGACUGUGACACGGCCCAGACUCCUACGGGAGGCAACAGUUAGGAAUCUUGGGCAAUGGGCGAAAGCCUGACCCAGCAACGCCGCGUGGGUGAUGAAGGCCUUCGGGUCGUAAAGCUCUUUUCCCGGGGAAGAUGAUGACGGUACCCGGGGAAUAAGCCCCGGCUAACUACGUGCCAGCAGCCGCGGUAAUACGUAGGGGGCGAGCGUUGUCCGGAUUUAUUGGGCGUAAAAGGCUUGUAGGCGGCCACAUCGCGUCGGACGUGAAAUCUCCCGGCUCAACUGGGAGGGGUCGUGCGAUACGGAUGGGCUCGAGGCCGGUAGGGGGACGCGGAAUUCCCGGUGUAGUGGUGGAAUGCGUAGAUAUCGGGAGGAACACCAGUGGCGCAGGCGGCGUCCUGGACCGGCACUGACGCUGAGGAGCGAAAGCUGGGGACGAUCCGGAUAGAUACCCGGGUAGUCCACGCGUAAACGGUGCGCAUAGGGUCGGGGGAUGACCCUCCGGGCCGCAGUAACGCAUAAGUGCGCUGCUGGGGAGUACGCCGCAAGGCUAAAACUCAAAGGAAUUGACGGGGGCCCGCACAAGCACGGAGCGU
rnacentral:rRNA from 1 species